rnacentral:rRNA from 1 species
GAUGAACGCUGGCGGCGUGCCUAAUACAUGCAAGUCGAGCGAACAGACGAGGAGCUUGCUCCUCUGACGUUAGCGGCGGACGGGCGAGUAACACGUGGAUAACCUACCUAUAAGACUGGGAUAACUUCGGGAAACCGGAGCUAAUACCGGAUAAUAUAUUGAACCGCAUGGUUCAAUAGUGAAAGACGGUUUUGCUGUCACUUAUAGAUGGAUCCGCGCCGCAUUAGCUAGUUGGUAAGGUAACGGCUUACCAAGGCAACGAUGCGUAGCCGACCUGAGAGGGUGAUCGGCCACACUGGAACUGAGACACGGUCCAGACUCCUACGGGAGGCAGCAGUAGGGAAUCUUCCGCAAUGGGCGAAAGCCUGACGGAGCAACGCCGCGUGAGUGAUGAAGGUCUUCGGAUCGUAAAACUCUGUUAUUAGGGAAGAACAAAUGUGUAAGUAACUAUGCACGUCUUGACGGUACCUAAUCAGAAAGCUACGGCUAACUACGUG